UCAACACAAGAUGUCAAAACGGCCAAAACUGUCAGGUGCCCAGGGAAGAAAAAGAGAAAAGAUGAGGAGGAGAAAUGAGAAAAAGACAGAGAGUCGAACCCGCGUUUCCUCCUGACAGCGCGCCAAGACGCGCCUCCGUUGACGGCGCACUCAAACACGUCCCCACUCGUGCUGAGCGCAGCACGCCCGCACAGCAACGAGCCUGUAGUCAAUCAAUAAUCGACACACCUGAACUUGAUGAAAGGGAGCGGCAUAAAGACCAGCAGACCUGAGGAACCUUUGCCAGAACGUCGCUAACCUUCCCUGACUCCCCUGCCUUCCGUGAUCGAGCCUUGUCCUUCAACAUCCAACCGGAUUCCUGACUGCCCCCCUCGAUCCACGACCUCCCUGCACGGACCCAGACAACGCUGCCUCGCUCCUCCCCACAAUCCAUUGCCUGUCCACGAACUGCUUCUUCGUCUUGCCCCUCGUGAUUCGACGAAAGAUUACAACCAACACUCACAGACAACAACCCUUGGUAACAUUUACAUUAUUAAUUUUACAUACACGUAUUCAUCAAAGGUUUAAAAUAAACCUUGAAAAACCGCAGUUCUGUCCUGGUUGUCGCCUCCUUCCCUCUGAACAUAACAAUGUCAUCAGUUUCUGAUUUAUUAAAUUGUAUCAAUCCAUCCAUCUAUUUUCUACCGCUUAUUCCCUUUGGUGUCGCGGGGGGCGCUGGUGCCUAUCUCAGCUACAAUCGGGCGGAAGGCGGGGUACACCCUGGACAAGUCGCCACCUCAUCGCAGGGCCAACACAGAUAGACAGACAACAUUGUGAAUUCUCCCUGCCCACUGGGUGUGCAUGUCUUUGGAAGUGGGAGGAAGCCGGAGUACCCGGAGGACAUGCAAACUCCACACAGAAAGAUCCCGAGCCCGGGAUUGAACCCCAGACUACUCAGGACCUUCGUAUUGUGAGUCGCGCUGCGAUGAGGUGACAACUUGUCCAGGGUGUACCCCGCCUUCCUCACGAAUGCAGCUGAGAUGGGCUCCAGUGACCCCCCGCGAACACAAAAAGGGAGUGGGC